UACGUAGGGUGCGAGCGUUAAUCGGAAUUACUGGGCGUAAAGCGUGCGCAGGCGGUUUUGUAAGCCGGAUGUGAAAUCCCCGGGCUUAACCUGGGAAUGGCAUUCGGGACUGCAAGGCUGGAGUGCGGCAGAGGAGACUGGAAUUCCUGGUGUAGCAGUGAAAUGCGUAGAUAUCUGGAGGAACACCGGUGGCGAAGGCGGCAUCCUGGACCGAGAUUGACGCUGAGGCGCGAAAGCCAGGGGAGCAAACGGG
rnacentral:rRNA from 1 species